GAUGAAUGCUGGCGGCGUGCCUAAUACAUGCAAGUCGAGCGGCAGCGCGAGUAGUUUACUACUUGGCGGCGAGCGGCGGACGGCUGAGUAACGCGUGGGAACGUGCCCCAAAGUGAGGGAUAAGCACCAGAAAUGGUGUCUAAUACCGCAUAUGGUCUUCGGAUUAAAGGAUUUAUCCGCUUUGGGAGCGGCCCGCGUUUGAUUAGAUAGUUGGUGAGGUAAUGGCUCACCAAGUCGACGAUCAAUAGCUGGUCUGAGAGGAUGAUCAGCCAGACUGGAACUGAGACACGGUCCAGACUCCUACGGGAGGCAGCAGUAAGGAAUCUUCCACAAUGGGCGAAAGCCUGAUGGAGCAACGCCGCGUGAAGGAUGAAGGCCCUCGGGUUGUAAACUUCUUUUAUGAGUGAAGAAUAUGACGGUAACUCAUGAAUAAGCACCGGCUAACUACGUGCCAGCCGCCGCCGUAA
rnacentral:rRNA from 1 species